UNUUUGCNNCAAAGAGGACUCUUAAUUCAACAUCGAGGUCAUAAAAUCACUUGUUNGUAAGGACUCUUUUANUGAAUUGUGCUGUAUNCCCUGAAGUAAUCUAGUCUUACUUCCAAAAUUUCNGAUNUUUNCANNUGUUAAGUCUANGUAUUCNAAAGNAGAUAUUUACCUCCUACCGCCCCAGCAAAAUAUUUAUUUCCUUCUCUGAAAGUAGUAAAUAUAAAGUUUUAUAGGGUCUUCUUGUCUUUAAGAGUCAUUAUUAGCCUUCUUACUAAAUAGUCAACUUUCAGGUUNUCAUCCCAAAAAAGUCUAUUCCGGUUUACCCCUUCAUUCCAG
rnacentral:rRNA from 1 species